GUACACGCUGUGACUAGCAUAUCAAUAAGCGGAGGAAAAGAAACUAACAAGGAUUCCCCUAGUAACGGCGAGUGAAGCGGGAAGAGCUCAAAUUUGAAAUCUUAAAGGGUUUCCCUUUACGAAUUGUAGUUUAAAGAAGGUGCUUUCUGUUGAGGUUUUGGUAAAAGUUCUUUGGAAUAGGACAUCAUAGAGGGUGAGAAUCCCGUAUUUGACCUUUACUUUCAACUUUGUGAUACACUUUCAAAGAGUCGGAUUGUUUGGGAAUGCAGUCCAAAAUGGGUGGUAAAUCUCAUCUAAAGCUAAAUAUUGGCGAGAGACCGAUAGCGAACAAGUACCGUGAGGGAAAGAUGAAAAGAACUUUGAAAAGAGAGUUAAACAGUACGUGAAAUUGUCAAAAGGGAAGCGUUUGACACCAGUGUUGUUUUUCUGAAAGUCAAUUAAAGAACUGUUUAUGCUAAGCUGUUUAGACUUUAUCAGCUAUCUGUUUAGUUUUGAGCUUUUCUUUAAUGCACUUUUCAGUUAACAAGUCAACAUCAAUUUCUUUUGCUGUAAAAAAGCUUGAGGAAGGUGGCUUGAGAUUCGUCUUAAGUGUUUAUAGCCUCUUGCCUAUGCAGUCGGAGAGAUUGAGGUCUGCAGCGUAGAUCCUUCGGGGCUAAAUGCAUUUGUGCUAAGUUAUAGCAUUUUAUAGACAACUUGUUGACUAUGAUUUGUCUUGUAGCUUACUCGCUUAUGUUAUUUUACCUACGCUUAGGAUGUUGACUGAUAUGUAGUCGU
rnacentral:rRNA from 1 species